AGCAGCAGCAGCAGCAGCAGCUUCCAGGGCGCCUUGGUGGCGGAGGAGCCCUGCCUUGCCUUGCCUCGUUUCCGCCUGCCCUUGCCAUGCCUGGGGAUGCCUCCUCCUCCUCCUCCUCCUCGCCUGUGCAGCCUUUGCUGAGAGGAGGGAGGCCAGGACCAGGCGCUGACCAGCCUCGCUCCCCCUGAGCUGCCUCCCAUGUUUUCUUGCUUCUGCUUCAGCCUCCAGAACCAGUCCUUCAGCAGCCCUCCUGCUUUGCCCGAGUGUGCCGAGGAUACAGAGUCAGUACAUGAAGACCAAACAGCCAAUUCCAUUCAAAGAGAUGAAAACAAGGAAAACUACCCAGACAGAGCUAUAGUCUUAGAGGAAAACCAGGCAGUGUUCCAAGAUACACAGACACCCUGUGAUGGCACAUUAAGGGUUGGAAUGGGGAACUUAAAAUCCCGAAAGCCCACAUCUAUUUCAAAAACAGAAAAUGGGAAAAACCAUGAAGAAAGUCAGGACAUGGGAAAUGCAUUGCCUUGGCUCUCCGACUGUCAGAGGAAAUCAGGCACGCCAGCUAAUGAUUACCCAGAGAAUGUGGCAUUCAGAUACCAGGAAACAGUCAUCAAGUUUCAACCCAGGACAGACCAGAGUGCAUUCAUUUCACCAAAAGAUGCUACUGAUCAUAUGCAGAACUUCUCUGAGAAUUCUUUGCUGAAGCUGCAAGCUCUUGAAACUGAUCUUUGCUCUGCAUUUUUGCCAAACCAGGAAGAAAGUCCUCAGCUGCCAGCUUUGAAGGAUCCCAUCCCUUCCUCAGUCCCAACCAGCGUGCAAGCCGAUGGGGACAGUUGUGGAGAGCCUGGACAAGUCAACAGAGAGGGCCAGGCAGCUGCAGACAAUGGACAUGAAGAUCAUCAGUCCUUAGGGACUAGCAGACUGCUAUAUCACAUUACUGAUGGAGAUAAUCCUCUGCUGUCUCCUCGCUGCUCUAUCUUUAGCCAGAGUCAGAGAUUUAAUUUGGACCCUGAAUCAGCUCCUUCCCCACCAAGUGCUCAACUGUUCAUGAUGCCAAGAAGUUCUUCUAGAGGUAGCUGUGAUGACUGCAAAGAGCCGCAGACAGUAGCACAACUCACAAAGCACCUUCAAAGUCUUAAGAGGAAGAUCAGGAAAUAUGAAGAAAAGUUUGAGCAAGAAAAGAAUUAUCGGCCUUCCCAUGCUGACAAAAUAGCAAAUCCAGAAGUAAUGAAAUGGAUGAAUGACUUGGCCAAAAGUCGUAAACAGCUUAAAGAGCUGAAGCUCAAGAUGUCAGAAGAACAAAGCUGCUCCCUCAAACCACCUCACAGAAGUCUUCCUCAGGAGAGUUCCAAAGAGACUGUGAAGCAGGACUCAGCAGGAGCUCCCCCGAGUCCAUCAGUAGAAGAAACCAGGGAUGCUGUGAUGAAACGACUGACAGAGACACGACAGCAGCUCAGUAUCCCUGAGAACAUUAAGGCUAUGACAAAAAGGCAAAUGGCUUUGGAAAAACUCAGUCUCCAGAAAAGCCUACUCUAUUUUGAAAGUGUUCAUGGAAGACCUAUAAACAAGGAAGACAAGAGUUUGAUGAGGCCUCUUUAUGAAAGAUAUCGAAUUAUCAAGCAGCUUCUGUCCACACCGUCUUUGAUUACAACCAUUCAGGAGGAGGAAGAUUCUGAUGAUGAUCACUCCCAGAGCAGCUACAAAUUAUCUUCUGCUAUGUCCCUCAAUCUGCCCACUGAUGAACACCUAUGCCAUUCAGAUGAGGAACACGAACCCUCCUUCGUUUCACCCUUGGAUGAAAAGAAACAAGUCAAGCAGCCUGUUAUCUCAAUGUCCAACUUGCACGAGGCCACAAUGCCUGUGUUGCUGGAACAUCUCCGAGAAACAAGAGCUGACAAGAAAAGGCUAAGGAAAGUGUUACGGGAAUUUGAAGAACAAUUCUUUAAACAAACAGGAAGGAGUCCUCAAAAGGAAGAUCGUAUCCCUAUGUCAGAAGAGUAUUUGGAAUACAAGCACAUCAAAGCCAAGCUCCGGCUGCUGGAGGUUCUUAUUAGCAAGCAUGAUGUCUCAAAAACCAUCUAAAAUGCCAGCGGCCUGCAAUAGUCAAACUCCCUGGUGUGGAAGAAGAUGAGAAUUACACAGGGAUGGUUCUUUCUGCACAAUGGUGUGAGUCUGUUAGAAAGAAAGGAAGCUCUUACAGAUAUGUUUGUGAAAGCAUGUGGUCAAUGCUCAGAAAAUAUCAGAAGGUAAACUUGUUGCUGAAUAAGAAUCACACUAAUUGCUGCGUUGUGCUCAAGUAUGAGAAAUUCUGAAUACAUAUUUAAUUUUCAUCAUGUAUCUAAAUUGUAGAAGUCAGGUUCUGAGUUAUCCUGUUGCAGAAUUAUGGUUACCAUGCUCCAAAACCUUUUUGAUAUAGAGGUCUACACAGUGCAGCCUGCUUCUCCUGUCCAACAGAGGCUAUCAAAUGUUAAUAGCAAUCAGUCCCUCUGUAGACCCAGAGCAGUGAGAGUUCAAAAGGCAGGCUUCUCCCUGCAGUACAGGGACUGUAUGAUAUUCAGAUGCCUCUGGAGAGCCUUUCCUGCUGGAACUACUCUCCAAAGAAGAGGGAAUUCUACGUAAAUCUUAUGUAUUUUUAUUGGCAGGAUGCCAUCCAGAUUUGUAAGCAAACUGUACAGAUGAGAGCAACUGUUUUAAGAUGCUAAUGUGCCAUUUUGGAGUACAAACUGAAACACAGUGGGGCUUGCUUUUGUUUAUCAACUUGGAUCUUUAGACCCGUGCCUUAUGAUCUGUUCCACAACUGGUGCGUACAACUGCUGUGUUUUUUUAAAGAACUGUACUUAAGAACUAUUUAUAAUAAACAACUGCAAAACAAUUUAAAGUAAUGGCAUAAAUUAUAAAGUAACAGAACACAAAGCCAAAAUAACCCAUUAGGCUAUUUUAAAAUAAUUUCAGCUGUGCUUAUUAAUUUUAUAUCUUCCAGAACCAAAUGGCUGGUUAACAAUGAUCAAUUUAGGUCUGAUGGAUAAUUGUAUUUUUGAUGUAAAGACUGAAAAGAUACCUGGAUUUUAGGAAGUACAGAGAGAGGUACAUUGUCCCAUUGACAACCAACUGCUUUUUCUCCUGCUGCUUAUAAUACCUCAUAGCAAAGGAACUGGCCAAAUUAUUAUUCCAAAUUUGUGUUCUGAGUGUUGAAAAGUGCAGUAACAGGGAGUUCCCAUAUGAAGAAUUUAAAUCGCCACACAAAGCAGGGCUGAUCUCUGUGUUGCCCCUCCAUCUAAUUUUCUGAAUUGUCAUGAAAGCUCAGUCAAAACUACACAUUCCUCCAUUCAUAAUUUGUGUUUAGCACUCAUGAACCUAUGUUUUACUCCACUGUUCUUUUCACUCCCAUUGUCCUUCCCUUCUCGCUUUUGCUUCAUUUGCCCACACUGCUAUUUAAUCCUAUUGGCUGUCACCACCCACAUGCUUUUCUUGGCGAUGUCAUAAUGCUGCAUCUGCUGUGAUGGCACAAUAGAGUCACUUGAGCCACCACAGCCAACAAAAUCAAAUGGCAAGGGAGCAGUGGAAGAAAAAAGCACAGAGCCUGCCAGAAACAAUAGGCUACUUUCACAAUAGAGGAACAAGAAGGUGAAGGUAUUAGUUAUUUGCUCAGCUUUCAAAGCAAAUAUUUUAAUUUUCUCUAAUAGUAUUUGGCAUAGCCUUCAUUUUACGUUGAUAUUUCCUCCCCAUACAAGUUUGUCUUACAAAUAAAAACUGACCUUAAAUGGAUAGGCACUUCAUAUGCUCAGAAGUGAUGCCAGAAUGGAUUUAGGACACAGGUAUGGUGAUCCAUGUAUUUUGUAAAUAAUCUUGUAAGUCCAUUUUUCUUUUGUGUUUUUUUUUUUUUUUUUAGCAAAGUCACAUUGUAUGGUAAAUGGUAUUUUGGUUCACAGUACUGCUGUGUGUGGAUCCCCCACAUAAGGGGAGGGCCUACUGUAUAUAUAUAUGGGGAAUAUUAUUGGGGACAUUGGGAUCACUCCGUGAAGCAUUCCUAAGAGUUUCUGCCACUAUUAAUUGCUCCAGCAGACACAACUGCAAGUUACAUAUAUGCUACUCUUGUAAUUCAUGCUUGACCAGCAUACACAAGCUUGCUGUUUCCCUUCAGAUGUGCCCCAAAAUGCUCUUCUCAGACGCUGACAAAAAAAGGGGUUUUCUAAAAAAGGAGUGGGCAAAGUGCACUGCACAGUCUCCAUGAUGCCUCCCAGGGUCCUUUUGGAGCCCCUAGGGCCCACACAAGGUAAAAGAGAGAGAGAGAGAGAGAGGAUUUUGUUUGCUUGCUUGUUUUUUCCUCAGAUGCUCUCUGGGGAACUUAGGAGCUAUUUUAGGCUCAGGGAGGUCUUUUUAAAAACUGGGAGUAAACUGUCACUUUAUGCCCCCCCCCC